GUUUGACCGUAAAUGUGGGUGUCAUUGUCUGUCUAGGAUGUGUCUAUAAAACCGUGUGACGGUGUUUUGAGAAGGCGAGGCAUACACAACUAUCUCGCUGUCCUCCUCUGUCAAACAAAGUUGACCAAAGAUAAAUAUAGGCCCACUCUGUGAUAAGGGAAUCAUGUGUGAACCGGUUCGAGAACAAUCGUUCCCCUUAUUUGUGAAGUUGGCCUACAUGAAACGACCAGUAACAAUAUUAUCGCAGAGUAAGCUAUUACAAAAAAGGAGCCUCUGUUAACAGUAAGGUUGACAAUAUUUUGAAAUCGGCCGAUUGCUCCUGCAGGCUUUCAAGAGCUGAUAUCACUCUUCCACUAGUUGGGAACUUUAAGUCGACUGCGUUACAGGAGGCCUCGUCCUGGUGGGAAAUCAACAUGUCGAUAGGAGAGACCUGAGAACAGGGGAGCUUUGUGAAAGAAGGUUCCAGACCCUCACCUGUCCAUGUGAUACCCCUUUGGAGACGGACCUGGUGGCGCUGUGAAAGCACCAUGGAUAUGAAAGAGAGUAGAUGCUCUGUCGUCUGUGUGUAGCAGAGAGACGGCCGGAGGCUCACAUCACUGUGUCACGUCAACUUUACUUUAUGG
ensembl:lncRNA